GAUUUCUGACGGACCGGGUUGACCCGCUUUCGAAUAGAAGGUGAGUGCCGAUUCGAGUUAGUCAUCCUUCUAGAUAGCCAUGCCUACCGUUCAUUCGGUUGGGCGUGUGUGGUCUAGAUCUUUUACUUUGAAAAAAUUGUGUUUAAAGCAGGCUUAGGCUAUGAAUACAUUAGCAUGGAAUAAUAAUAUAGGACUUUGGUUCUAUUUUGUUGGUUUCUAGGACCGAAGUAAUGAUUGAUAGGGAUAGUUGGGGGUGCUAGUAUUCAGUGGCCAGAGGUGAAAUUCUUGGAUUCACUGAAGACUAACUACUGCGAAAGCAUU
rnacentral:rRNA from 1 species